CGGGAGCAGGCGGGGCCCUCACGGCAGAAACGCUGCCAACCAAAAGAAAGAAAAUAAAGGUUUUAUAGCGCACAUGGGAUUAUCAGCGCAUUUGGUGAGCAGUGGGAACCUGACAGGCACGGGAAUUAAAAGACUUGCCAAAAGCCAGAUUGAAGAGAGAAGCCUGGUAGAAAAGAAAGAUGGGUCUUCCAACAUCCAGAUUAGUGCCUGAUCUACUGCAUCCUGUUGUUCUCCAGCUCCAGGUAUGAUCAGUGUAGGUAUCUACUUGCUCUGUUAUUGCCCUGCACAGUCACAAGAAGAAAAAUUCCGUACCUUGGCAUGAGACUUCUGUCAUUUCUCCAGAAGAAACAUCUCCUUUCUACCCUGGUGGUCUUAAAUUAAAAAUCUC
rnacentral:lncRNA from 12 species